GUCAUAUUGCAUUCCUAAGGCUUCCACUAGAUGUCAACAGUCAUUAGAACCUCGUUUGAGGCUUCUAGAAUACAAUUUGAUAUAAUAAUACCCGGAACAGUAUGUGGUCGACCUGGUGUCAUUGCCUCACCUCGCGCACGCUCACGAAGGAUUAGCCAUUUUUCUUUUGUAAUGAAUCUGCUAUUGUCCAGUUGGAAUAUUAUUGAAAUUCUACUAUAAUAACACCCUAAAGAUUGAUUGAACAUGGUUUGACAUGUUUCUACAAACGCUGAGGGAACUUUAUAACUUUUCGUCGACGGUGGAUAGAUGCAUUUUGGAAUGGUGAUCUGGACGCGCCAUCAAAACUGAUUUAUUUCGACAUAAAUGAUGGACUUUAUCGAACAAAUGAACAUUUCUUGUGGAAGUGGGAGACCUUCUGAGUGCAUUCAGCCGAAGAUCAGCAAAGGUAAGAUAAUAUUUUUAACAUAUUUCAGCGUUUUGUGGAUGCCGUGGCUGGACGGCUAACUGAAUAGCAUGGUGCUCAGUACUCAGAAUAUUGAACAAUGUGCUUUCUACAUAAAGUUAUUUUGAAAUCUGACACAGCGGGUGCAUAAAAGAGUACUGUAUCUAUAAUUCUUAAAAUAAUUGUUAUGUAUUUUGUCAACGUUUAUGAUGAGUAUUUUUGUAAAUUCACAGGAAGUUUUUGGUGGGAAUACAUUUUCUGAACGUCACGCGCCAAUGUAAAAUGUUUUUUUUGGGGAUAUAAAUAUGAACUUGAUGGAACAAAAAAUGCAUGUAUUGUCUAACAUAAUGUCCUAGGAGUGUCAUCUGAUGAAGAUCGUCAAAGGUUAGUGCAUAAUUGUAGCUGGUUUUGUGCUUUGGGACCCUUGCUUGGAAAAUGGCUGUCCUUGCUAGGAAAAUGGCUGUGUUGUUGUUUUUUUGCUGUGGUGGUAUCCUAACAUAAUCUAAUGUUUUGCUUUCGCUGUAAAGCCUUUUUGAAAUCAGACAAUGUGGUUGGAUUCAGGAGAGGUUUAUCUUUCAAAUGGUGUAAAAUAGUCGUAUGUUUGAGAAAAUGGAAUUGUGGUAUUUUAGUUGUUUUUGUAUUUCCCGCCAUGCGAUCCCAUUGGCUGUUGGCUAGGGGUUCCGCUAGUGGAACCCCUAGAUGUAAGAGGUUGGACCACAGUCUGUAAGUAAGCAUUUCACUGUUUACACCCGUUGUUUACAAAGCAUGUGACACAUAAAAUGCUAUUUGACAGAAAGACAGAGAGGGAAAGGGUUGAUAGGGAGAGAUAAAUAUAUAGAGAAAGAUGGAGUGCCGGGGGAGAAAGAGAGAGGGUGAGGUGGCGUAUAGAGGGAAAGAGAUGAGAGGUAUAGGUUGGGUAUAGUGUUAAAGAGAGGAGGGGUAGAUGUGGGGUAUAGAGAGAAAGAGGAGCGGUAGAUGUGGGGUAUUGAGAGAAAGAGAGAGAUGUAAAGAGCAUUGAUUGGAAAGUAGUGCCCCUGAAGAGUAGGAUGUGGGAAUCAUUCACAGAGUGAGCAGGAGAGAGAGGGGAGGAGGAGGAGGAGAGAGAGGGGAGGAGGAGGAGAGAGAGGGGAGGAGGAGGAGGAGAGAGGGGAGGAGAGGAGGAGAGAGGGGAGGAGGAGGAGGAGAGAGAGGGGAGGAGGAGGAGGAGAGAGGGGAGGAGAAGGAGAGAAAGAGAGGGGAGGAGGAGGAGAGAAAGAGAGGGGAGGAGGAGGAGAGAAAGAGAGGGGAGGAGGAGGAGAGAGAGAGGAGGAGGAGGAGAGAAAGAGAGGGGAGGAGGAGGAGAGAAAGAGGGGAGGAGGAGGAGAGAAAGAGAGGGGAGGAGGAGGAGGAGAGGGGAGGAGGAGGAGAGAGAGGGGAGGAGAGAGGGGAGGAGGAGGAGAGAGAGAGGGCAGUAGGUAGUAUAUUGAUUGGAUGGACACAGAAUGAAAAAAAACGAUUUUGAGAAAUAGAUUUCUGAGAGGAGUCCUGCAGUGAGACUUGCCAUGGUCCCACACUUAAUGUCAGAAUAAGUAUGCAUGCCACGCACAAACAAACACGCACACACACAAACAACUCCGUUUGUGAGCGAAGGAUACUGGAAAAUAGUCACAGAUUUAGUUAGAUAUUUAGAAAAGAGUCAGAGAUGUAAGUACAGCCAUCAGACAGACUGAGUGAUUGGAUGAUGAAUGUACUCUGUUUUCAGAAAACAAUCAUGUACAGUCAGCAUAAAUUUGAAGGCUGUGUUUUGACGGAGUGACUGCAUAAUGUGUUUUGAUAGCCAGCUAGGGGGAGAAUACAGAAAUAUUGUUAUAGUAUACAAUGCAUUCUGAAAGUAUUCAAACCCCUUGACUUUUUCCACAUUUUGUUACGUUACAGCCUUAUUCUAAAAUGGAUUAAAUAUUUUUUUUCCCUCAUCAAUCUAUACCCAUAAUGACAAAGUAAAACAGGUUUUUAGAAAUGUUUGCAAAUGCAUUACAAAUAAAAAACUGAAAUAUGACAUUCACAUAAGUAUUCAGACCCUUUACAAAGGUACUUUGUUGAAGCAACUUUGGCAGCGAUUACAACCUCGGGUCUUCUUGGGUAUGACGCUACAAGCUUGUCUUGGCUGUGUGCUUAGGGUCAUUGUCUUGUUGGAAGGUGAACCUUCGCUCCAGUCUGAGGUCCUGAGUGCUCUGGAGCAGGUUUUCAUCAAGGAUCUCUCUGUACUUUGCUCCGUUCAUCUUUCCCUCGAUCCUGACUAGUCUCCCAGUCCCUGCUGCAGAAAAACAUCUCCACAGCAUGAUGCUGCCACCACCAUGCUUCACCGUAGGGAUGGUGCCAGGUUAUCUCCAGACGUGAUGCUUGGCAUUCAGGCCAAAGAGUUCAAUCUUGGUUUCAUCAGACCAGGGAAUGUUCUGAGAGUCCUUUAGGUGCCUUUUGGCAAACUCCAAGAGGGCUGUCAUGAGCCUUUUACUGAGGAGUGGCUUCAGUCUGGCCCCUCUACCAUAAAAGGCCAGAUUGGUGGAGUGCUGCAGAGAUGGUUGUCCUUCUGGAAGGUUCUCCCAUCUCCACAGAGGAACUCUGGAGUUCUGUCAGAGUGACCAUCGGGUUCUUGAUCAACUCCCUGACCAAGGCCCUUCUCCCCCGAUUGCUCAGUUUGGCCAGGCAGCCAGCUCUAGGAAGAGCCUUGGUGGUUCCAAACUUCUUCCCUUUAAGAAUGAUGGAGGAUCAUGUGUUCUUGGGGACCUUCAAUGCUGCAGACAUUUUUUGGUACCCUUCCCCAGAUCUGUGCCGACACAAUCCUGUCUCGGAGCUCUACGGACAAUUCCUUUUACCUCAUGGCUUGGUUUUGUUUUUGCUGUGACAUGCACUGUCAAAUGUGUGACCUUAUAUAGACAAGUGCGUGCCUUUCCAAAUCAUGUCCAAUCAAUUGAAUUUACCACAGGUGGACUCCAACCAAGUUGUAGAAACAUCUCAAGGAUGAUCAAUGGAAACAGGAAGCACCUGAGCUCAAUUUUGAGUCUCAUAGCAAAGAGUCUGAAUACUUAUGUAAAUAAGGUAUUUCUGUUUAAAAAAUGUAUACAUUUGCCAACAUUUCUAAAAACCUGUUUUCACGUUGCCACUAUUGGGUAUUGUGAGGGAAAAAAUAUGGUAAAUACAUUUCACAAUAAGGCUGUGACAAAAUGUGGAAAAGGGGAAGGGUCUGAAUACUUUCCGAGUGCCCUGUAUAUAUAUUUUUACAUUGACACGUAAGUCCACAACGCUUUAGGCUAGAAACAAGUGUUAAAAUGCCCAAGGAAGACGGAACUCGGAUACACAUGGGAACAUCUUUGGUUCAUCUCUAUGGCAUUUACAAACUGAGCUAUGACCAAGAUGCCAGUAAGCAGGUCUUUUUUCUCUGAUCAAUGUUUGUAGCUGUGUUUGUCUCUAUUUAGCGUUGUUUAAUCUGACUAUGAACACAUUGGACAAUAGCUCAAUAUUGCAUGCAGAGUUUUUAAGGAGACAUACAAAACAGGUCUGCUGAAACUUUUGAGGCCUACUUGGAUAUACUUGGACACCCUACUCUGCACUGGGACCUGCACUGGAACCUGCACUGGGACCUGAACUGG
rnacentral:lncRNA from 1 species